AUACGGAGGGUGCAAGCGUUAAUCGGAAUUACUGGGCGUAAAGCGCGCGUAGGCGGCUGAUUAAGUCGGAUGUGAAAUUCCUGGGCUCAACCUAGGAACUGCAUCCGAUACUGGUCAGCUAGAGUUUUGGAGAGGUAAGUGGAAUUUCCGGUGUAGCGGUGAAAUGCAUAGAGAUCGGAAGGAACACCAGUGGCGAAGGCGACUUACUGGCCAAAAACUGACGCUGAGGUGCGAAAGCGUGGGUAGCAAACGGGAUUAGAAACCCUAGUAGUCC
rnacentral:rRNA from 1 species